rnacentral:rRNA from 1 species
GGGUUGUGAGGUUAAGCGACUAAGCGUACACGGUGGAUGCCCUGGCAGUCAGAGGCGAUGAAGGACGUGCUAAUCUGCGAUAAGCGUCGGUAAGGUGAUAUGAACCGUUAUAACCGGCGAUUUCCGAAUGGGGAAACCCAGUGUGAUUCGUCACACUAUCAUUAACUGAAUCCAUAGGUUAAUGAGGCGAACCGGGGGAACUGAAACAUCUAAGUACCCCGAGGAAAAGAAAUCAACCGAGAUUCCCCCAGUAGCGGCGAGCGAACGGGGAGCAGCCCAGAGCCUGAAUCAGUGUGUGUGUUAGUGGAAGCGUCUGGAAAGGCGCGCGAUACAGGGUGACAGCCCCGUACACAAAAAUGCACAUGCUGUGAGCUCGAUGAGUAGGGCGGGACACGUGGUAUCCUGUCUGAAUAUGGGGGGACCAUCCUCCAAGGCUAAAUACUCCUGACUGACCGAUAGUGAACCAGUACCGUGAGGGAAAGGCGAAAAGAACCCCGGCGAGGGGAGUGAAAAAGAACCUGAAACCGUGUACGUACAAGCAGUGGGAGCACGCUUAGGCGUGUGACUGCGUACCUUUUGUAUAAUGGGUCAGCGACUUAUAUUCUGUAGCAAGGUUAACCGAAUAGGGGAGCCGAAGGGAAACCGAGUCUUAACUGGGCGUUAAGUUGCAGGGUAUAGACCCGAAACCCGGUGAUCUAGCCAUGGGCAGGUUGAAGGUUGGGUAACACUAACUGGAGGACCGAACCGACUAAUGUUGAAAAAUUAGCGGAUGACUUGUGGCUGGGGGUGAAAGGCCAAUCAAACCGGGAGAUAGCUGGUUCUCCCCGAAAGCUAUUUAGGUAGCGCCUCGUGAAUUCAUCUCCGGGGGUAGAGCACUGUUUCGGCAAGGGGGUCAUCCCGACUUACCAACCCGAUGCAAACUGCGAAUACCGGAGAAUGUUAUCACGGGAGACACACGGCGGGUGCUAACGUCCGUCGUGAAGAGGGAAACAACCCAGACCGCCAGCUAAGGUCCCAAAGUCAUGGUUAAGUGGGAAACGAUGUGGGAAGGCCCAGACAGCCAGGAUGUUGGCUUAGAAGCAGCCAUCAUUUAAAGAAAGCGUAAUAGCUCACUGGUCGAGUCGGCCUGCGCGGAAGAUGUAACGGGGCUAAACCAUGCACCGAAGCUGCGGCAGCGACGCUUAUGCGUUGUUGGGUAGGGGAGCGUUCUGUAAGCCUGUGAAGGUGUACUGUGAGGUAUGCUGGAGGUAUCAGAAGUGCGAAUGCUGACAUAAGUAACGAUAAAGCGGGUGAAAAACCCGCUCGCCGGAAGACCAAGGGUUCCUGUCCAACGUUAAUCGGGGCAGGGUGAGUCGACCCCUAAGGCGAGGCCGAAAGGCGUAGUCGAUGGGAAACAGGUUAAUAUUCCUGUACUUGGUGUUACUGCGAAGGGGGGACGGAGAAGGCUAUGUUGGCCGGGCGACGGUUGUCCCGGUUUAAGCGUGUAGGCUGGUUUUCCAGGCAAAUCCGGAAAAUCAAGGCUGAGGCGUGAUGACGAGGCACUACGGUGCUGAAGCAACAAAUGCCCUGCUUCCAGGAAAAGCCUCUAAGCAUCAGGUAACAUCAAAUCGUACCCCAAACCGACACAGGUGGUCAGGUAGAGAAUACCAAGGCGCUUGAGAGAACUCGGGUGAAGGAACUAGGCAAAAUGGUGCCGUAACUUCGGGAGAAGGCACGCUGAUAUGUAGGUGAAGUCCCUCGCGGAUGGAGCUGAAAUCAGUCGAAGAUACCAGCUGGCUGCAACUGUUUAUUAAAAACACAGCACUGUGCAAACACGAAAGUGGACGUAUACGGUGUGACGCCUGCCCGGUGCCGGAAGGUUAAUUGAUGGGGUUAGCGCAAGCGAAGCUCUUGAUCGAAGCCCCGGUAAACGGCGGCCGUAACUAUAACGGUCCUAAGGUAGCGAAAUUCCUUGUCGGGUAAGUUCCGACCUGCACGAAUGGCGUAAUGAUGGCCAGGCUGUCUCCACCCGAGACUCAGUGAAAUUGAACUCGCUGUGAAGAUGCAGUGUACCCGCGGCAAGACGGAAAGACCCCGUGAACCUUUACUAUAGCUUGACACUGAACAUUGAGCCUUGAUGUGUAGGAUAGGUGGGAGGCUUUGAAGUGUGGACGCCAGUCUGCAUGGAGCCGACCUUGAAAUACCACCCUUUAAUGUUUGAUGUUCUAACGUUGACCCGUAAUCCGGGUUGCGGACAGUGUCUGGUGGGUAGUUUGACUGGGGCGGUCUCCUCCUAAAGAGUAACGGAGGAGCACGAAGGUUGGCUAAUCCUGGUCGGACAUCAGGAGGUUAGUGCAAUGGCAUAAGCCAGCUUGACUGCGAGCGUGACGGCGCGAGCAGGUGCGAAAGCAGGUCAUAGUGAUCCGGUGGUUCUGAAUGGAAGGGCCAUCGCUCAACGGAUAAAAGGUACUCCGGGGAUAACAGGCUGAUACCGCCCAAGAGUUCAUAUCGACGGCGGUGUUUGGCACCUCGAUGUCGGCUCAUCACAUCCUGGGGCUGAAGUAGGUCCCAAGGGUAUGGCUGUUCGCCAUUUAAAGUGGUACGCGAGCUGGGUUUAGAACGUCGUGAGACAGUUCGGUCCCUAUCUGCCGUGGGCGCUGGAGAACUGAGGGGGGCUGCUCCUAGUACGAGAGGACCGGAGUGGACGCAUCACUGGUGUUCGGGUUGUCAUGCCAAUGGCACUGCCCGGUAGCUAAAUGCGGAAGAGAUAAGUGCUGAAAGCAUCUAAGCACGAAACUUGCCCCGAGAUGAGUUCUCCCUGACCCUUUAAGGGUCCUGAAGGAACGUUGAAGACGACGACGUUGAUAGGCCGGGUGUGUAAGCGCAGCGAUGCGUUGAGCUAACCGGUACUAAUGAACCGUGAGGCUUAACCUUACAACGCCGAAGCUGUU